GCCCGAGUUGUAAUUUGCAGAGGAGGCUUUGGAGUCGCCCCGGUCCAAGUUCCUUGGAACAGGACGUCGCAGAGGGUGAGAAUCCCGUACGCGGCCGGAUGGCUUCUCCGUGUAAAGCCCCUUCGAC
rnacentral:rRNA from 1 species